CUUCUUUUGCUCUGAUCUCACAAGGAACCAUGUGGAAAUUGAUAAACACCUGUCCACUCACAGCUCUGAUGGAGGCUGCAUUCUGUCCUUACAGGUACAGAAGCUGUUGGUUGGUUGGAAAGCAAUUGGAGUUUGAAGAUGCUGAAAUUAGACUUGGACCUUCAGGCGCUGUUGGACCCUGACCUAUUUUCUAUAUGCAGUCCAGGCAGCCAAGGACUUUUGAUCCUGCUGGACAAUGAACUGGACCUCAUGAAUGGUCUGAUGAAUGGACCCUUGGACCACUCAGGACUCAUCGGGACUAUAAUCCAUGUAUAACAAAAGGGACUCCAACAUCCUGCUCCUUCCACUAGGAGGGUAGAUGCUCCAAGACAUUGAUUUUAUGUGGCUUUUUUUCUGUGUGUUUUCUUUUGAAGCUUCUAAGGUUUGCUGUCUAUUCCUCUUAUAUUUAUAUAAUUUUGUUCAUACAUUUGUUUUUAUUUUAUUUUUUAAUGUUUUAAUUGAAACAGUUACAUUGCCUCCCCCUUUUCUACCUUCUUUCCAGCCUCUCCCAGCUAUGCUGUAUUGAACCCCUCCGAUGCCUUCACUCUUAAGUUAAUAUUCUUUUUUGCUUAAAUUUGUUAUGUGUGUGUAUGCACAAAUAUAUAUAUAUUUAUUAUAUUACCAUAUAUAUAUAUAUAAAACUUUUUGUGUAUAUAUAUACACACAUAUAUAUUACCUUUUGAGUUUAUUUUUCUUUUUCAUUUGUGUAUAUAUGGUUUCAAGACUGACUACUCUGUAUUUGACAACAUGGUACUUUUUAUUUUUACCUUUUGACAUUUUCUUUCCCCCUUUCCUAAACUUCUUAUUUUGGCUUAUGCUUUCUUGACACCUUCAUUUAACCUAGAAUCUUUAUUUUCUUCUUUUGCCUCCUUUUCAUAAUUCCCUUCAUCCUUGAUUCUACUACAACAAUGAUCAAUGCCUGUGGGUAGGACUGGCUAGGACAUGCAGUUAUGAACAGGAAGCAUCGCAACACAUUACAAACGAGAUAAUGAAAUUCAACGUGGUAUAAGCUGAAAGUAACAACUUUUAAUAUUCUUACAAAUGAAGCCCAACAAAAUAUUCUCCGAUCACACAAGAGAAGUACCAGGAAAGAAACCUGAAAAUAAACAUUUGCCAAUCAAGAUUGUUCUGAUAAAGAAAGCAAACUUUUAGAACGAUAAGGGCGUUCCAAAGCACAUUAACACACCUGUGAAAACAGCCAGUGACGCAGAAGGUGCAUAAAGGAAUUGGAAGUGGACAGGGAAAAA
ensembl:lncRNA